rnacentral:lncRNA from 1 species
UAUAUAAUUAAUACACCUUAUUAAUAUGUUUUAUUCGUGGAGUUAGAAAAAAAUAGGAAUAACCUGUAAGUCACAUGUGAUGUACAAAAAAAAAGUGGAAUACUUACUCUUGGAAAAGAUGUGUGUGAAGAAAACUUGUAUGCAAGGAUAAUCCCAAGGGUAAUAAGGAUCUCUAGCUACAACACCUAUCCAUGGUAACUGUGGAUAAUCUCCAAGGAUAAUCAUCUGGCAUAUGGGGCCUCAUUCCAACAGCUGAAACAGCAAUUUCAGCGAACACCACAAAAUGGCGCUAGCAGUGCUGUUUCUAAACUGCGUAUCGAUAUGAAAUUAAGAACUGUAAAAAAAAGUAACAAAGUAUUUUUA